UAAAGUGCACUACGUGUAGUGUAUGCAAGUACUUACGAAUAAGCAUCGGCUAAUUCCGUGCCAGCGGCCGCGGUAAUACGGAAGAUGCAAGUGUUAUCCGGAUUUAUUGGGUUUAAAGGGUGCGUAGGUGGUCUAAUAAGUCAGUGGUGAAAUCUCUUUGCUUAACAAGGAAAUUGCCAUUGAAACUGUUAGACUUGAGAAUGGACGAGGUAGGCGGAAUUCGUAGUGUAGCGGUGAAAUGCAUAGAUAUUACGAAGAACUCCAAUAGUGUAGACUGCUUACCAGACCAUAUCCGACACUAAGGCACGAAAGUGUGGGUAUCAAACAGGAUUAGAUACCCUGGUAGUCCACACAGUAAACGAUGAAUACUAACUGUUUGCGAUAUACAGCAAGUGGUCGAGCGAAAGCGUUAAGUAUUCCACCUGGGAAGUAUGCCGGCAACGGUGAAACUCAAAGGAAUUGACGGGGGCCCGCACAAGCGGAGGAACAUGUGGUUUAAUUCGAUAAUACGCGAGGAACCUUACCCGGGCUCGAACGAUAUUUGAAUACAUCCGAAAAGAUGUAGCUAGCAAUAGCAAAUACCGAGGUGCUGCAUGGUUGUCGCCAGCUCGUGCCGUGAGGUGUCGACUUAAGUGUCAUAACGAGCGCAACCCUUACCGAUAGUUACCAUCAGAUAAUGCUGGGGACUCUAUUGGGACUGCCACCGUAAGGUGUGAGGAAGGAGAGGAUGACGUCAAAUCAGCACGGCCCUUAUGUCCGGGGCGACACACGUGUUACAAUGGGAGAAACAAAGGGUCGCUACCUGGCAACAGGAUGCUAAUCUCGAAAAUCUCUCUCAGUUCGGAUUGGAGUCUGCAACUCGACUCCAUGAAGCUGGAUUCGCUAGUAAUCGCACAUCAGCCAUGGUGCGGUGAAUACGUUCCCGGGCCUUGUACACACCGCCCGUCAAGCCAUGGAAGCUGGAAGUACCUGAAGUAUGUAACUGAAAAGAGCGUCCU
rnacentral:rRNA from 1 species